rnacentral:rRNA from 1 species
GAUGAACGCUGGCGGCGUGCCUAAUACAUGCAGGUCGAACGAACGGACGAUGAGCUUUCUCCCCUGACGUUAGCGGCGGACGGGUGGGUAACGCGUGGAUAAGAUACUUAUAAUACGUGGAUAACUUCGUGAAACAGGAUCUGAUACUGCAUAAUACAUUGUACCGGAUGGUUCAAUAGUUCAUGGCGGUUUUCCUGUCUCUUAUAGCUGAUUCCGCGUCGGAUUAGCUAGUUGGUAAGGUAACGGCUUACCAAGGCAACGAUGCGUAGCUGACCUGAGAGGAUGAUCGGCCACACUGGAACUGAGACACGGUCCAGACUCCUACGGGAGGCAGCAGUAGGGAAUCUUGGGCAAUGGGCGAAAGCUUGACCGAGCAACGCCGCGUGAGUGAUGAAGGUCUUCAGAUCGUAAAGCUCUGUUAUUAGGAAAGAACAGAUGUGUAAGUAAAUAUGGACGUCUUGACGGUACCCAAUCAGAAAGCACCGGCUAACUACGUG